rnacentral:lncRNA from 1 species
AAGAACAUGAGUUCUACCAUUUAGUUAUCUGCCACGACCACCUAUUUACAGCCAAGUUAGGCGGACUCAAAAGAGUGACUUUCUUUUCUUUCUCCCACAAUCAUAGCAAUGCUAGCCUGCCUUUAUUAAUGGGUGCAUUGUCAUUGGAUGGAAGCCUCUAGGACAGCAUCUGGUCACUUAACUCCAGGACCAACUCCCGGACCUAUUCCUGAAAAGAUGAGACAAGGCUUGACAAAACAAGAAGACUCAGAAGAUAAAUCUGUUUUUUAUAUCAAGAAGCACUACAAGGUGCCAUGAAGUUUGGCUGACACAUGGAACUAGCCUAGAGAGGAUCAGGUAAAUGGUUAUUUUUCCCAGUAUACAGCAUCACUUUGCAAAGUUUGAUUAUUUUAAUUGGUGCAUAAAAACAUAUAUUCUUUAAAAUGGCAAAAUCACCCCAUCAGCUAAAAAGAACAGUGCUUACUUCAG